AUUGAACGCUGGCGGCAGGCCUAACACAUGCAAGUCGAACGAGUGGCGGACGGGUGAGUAAUGUGUGGGAAUCUGGCCUAUGGAGGGGGAUAACUACUAGAAACGGUAGCCAAUACCGCGUACUAUAGGAUGAACCCAUAGGGGAUUAGGUAGUGGGUGGGGUAAAGGCUCACCAAGGCGACGAUCUCUAGCUGGUCUGAGAGGAUGACCAGCAACACUGGGACUGAGACACGGCCAAGACUCCUACGGGAGGCAGCAGUGGGGAAUAUUGCACAAUGGGGGCAAGCCUGACGCAGCCAGGCCGCGUGUAUGAAGAAGGCCUUCGGGUUGUAAAGUACUUUCAGUGGGGAGGCGUUAACUGCAGAAGAAGCACCGGCUAACUCCGUGCCAGCAGCCGCGGUAAUUC
rnacentral:rRNA from 1 species